AAGUUAGGAUUCUGUUAUGGUAACUGGGAACUUGAGUGAGGACUGAAAGUUAGUUGGAUAGUUAAGGAGUUAUGUUAGUGCAGUAGGAUACUUGUAACUGUUAGCUUGAAUCAAGUAAAAAAGUUAGUGUGAGAUUAUUAGCAGAAUUCCUCGACUCUUGUACUUGUUUUUCUGACUGUUUCAACUGAACCCUGAAUUGUAUGCAAUCGCGUGAUGAGAUUGUGAGGCCUUGAUUGUGCAAGUUCGCUGAGUUUUUCUUUUGAACUGUAUGCAGGUUUGUGACUGAUGUAAACACUUGGUAUUGAUUUAUGUGUAGAAUUCUGGAGUGGAACUUGAGGUGGUGAAGGUUCUGAAGGUUACAGGGAGAAUUGAGAAUGGCGGUACCGCAAUAUGUGGCUUUACGGAUCGAUACUGCAAGCUGGUAUAGGUGGGCAGCAGGCUGCUUUUUUGUGUUGGAUUUUGUUUAUGAGUAUUUCAACGACCAAGGUCACUUUACUUGGUCAAGGUUUUGGGCAUGGCUUGGUGCAAUGAUGGAAUCCAUUGAAGUAGGAUUAUGGUGCAAUAGGUGAAAUGAAGAGAAAGGAAGAAAUGGUUAUGGAGAGUGGAAGAGAAAUAGGCCUGUACAUUUGAAAGGAAUAGAUUUAGAAAUCUUUAUGUUUAUGUGAAUUUCUGGAUGUUUUGUAUUUGUGCAAUGGUGAUGGUUUUGUAACAACAAAAUUUGAAUUUC